UUUAAUAUGGCAGAUUAGUGCAGUAAAUUUAAGCUUUACAAAUAAAGAUUUAACCUUUUAUUAAAA
rnacentral:tRNA from 1 species